UGCUCCCGAAUCACAAGGUUUGAGUUUUUCUUUUUCAAAUGGCCUCUGAAUGUUGCCACACUACCAAAUAUAGGAUCACAAUGUCAAUACGGCCGUUUAGACACCAAAAACAGAAACAAAUCAAUUUCGGAGUCAAACGGGAAUUGUGGGACCUGCAUCAAAAUUUUUGAAACCGACUCCGUCAAAAUGUCCCAAAAAGUUCCCCGAACUUGUGUUCCUAAAUGGAUAAUUUCAAAAAAAAAAAACUUGUGUUCCUAAAUGGAACACAAUCAGGACUUAGAAAUGAAAGCAAGCAGCAUGCAACAAUUCACAAUUAAGAGCAAGAAAAUAGGCUAAGGCAGCCUACUAAAAUGGAAAUUCACCUCAAAAGAACAAUUCCCACCUAACUUCGAUUAUUCCAUAGUGUAGCCACAGUCUCCACGAUCACCCAAGACUUCAAAUUAUUGAAAUCAGAGCUCAAACGAAGGAGCAAUCUCCAAAUCAAUUUACCACAAAUGCUGAAAAUCGCGCCUGAGUCUUUAAUAAAAGACUGCCCGACCUUCGCUUAAGCAGCCACUUACGUCGCUU
rnacentral:lncRNA from 1 species